GUUAAUCAAUUUAAUUCAUAAAAAUUAUUAACAAAAUAGACAUUAAAGACAUGUUUACAAAUUAUGAAAAGGUUGAAAGCAUCUCACUAAAAUAUUUGUUUGCUCUAAUAAUAAUAGGAAGAAAAAAAAAAGCAACACUCACAUUCUCAAUUGUUUGCAAGUGCUAAUUGUAUAUCUGAUACUCCUUGUACUCCUUAGUCAGACGUCUAGGAUCCUUCGUCCACAAUAACCUCGACCAUCCUCCUCCUCCUUGUUGUUCUUCCUCUUUCUUUUUCUGGUAUUGCUCAACUGAGCUAUCUAAAUGAAAGAAUUGAAAAAGAAUGGUAACGGUAUACUACAAUUGUAGUAAGCUAAUUAAGCUAUAUUGACUAUAUAUGUUGUAGUUAAUAUGUCUAGUGUAUGUUUUUGUGAUUUUCUUGGGUCUAU
rnacentral:lncRNA from 1 species